GGAGAAGUCGCAUAGCCCGGUCGAGUGCGCACGCUUGGAAAGCGUGUAGGCCGAAAGGCCUCCAGGGUUCGAAUCCCUGCUUCUCCGCCA
rnacentral:tRNA from 1 species